rnacentral:rRNA from 1 species
UACGGAGGGAGCGAGCGUUGUCCGAAGUUACUGGGCGUAAAGCGCGCGUAGGCGGGGAAUUAAGUGAGAAGUGAAAGGCUGGGGCUCAACCUCAUGCAGUGCUUCUCAUACUGGUUCUCUUGAGGGCGGUAGGGAGAAGUGGAAUGGCUGGUGUAGCGGUGAAAUGCGUAGAUAUCAGUCGGAACACCAAUUGCGAAGGCAGCUCACUACUCAAUCAUUGACUCUGAGGCACGAAAGCGUGGGGAUCAAACAGG